CUGUGAUGCCCUUAGAUUUUCUGGGCUGCACGCGCACUACACUGAUGGUACUGUUGGGGCU
rnacentral:rRNA from 14 species